AUGAUAUUACUUUUGUGGUACGCAUGUCUAGUCCUUAUUCUCUCCGUCCUUUCGGCGCGGGGGAUCAUUCCAUACGGGCCGACGGAGGUGCAACAACUGAGCCCGUGUAACUCGGUGGUCAAACUGCCUUCCAAUUUCCAAUCGACGACCAUCUUCCAGCUGGACGCGCUCGACCGCCCCGCGCAGCCGGCCACCGAGGACUACAACGUCACCAGUUGCGCCUUCAUUUUCGAGGGCCCGCAAAACGCCACGCUCACCUUCCAGCUCUUCGGCGUCACCAUCAUGCGGGACCCCGACUUCCCGAACAACACGGCGCCCUGCUUGGCCACGCCCACCAAGUCAAAUAUCCAGCUCUACGAUUACACCGCUGACGGCAAUCUGCAAUUGAUCUCCAUCAAUUGUCAAAAUGAAACUUGGAGUGAGAGGAUUUCUACCACAAGCAACAUUGGAGUGUUGACGAGCACCAUCAGUGGACAUUUUGCUCUCUCCGUCCAAAAAGUCUACGCGGCCCAGGAGCUGGGUGAACCAAUCUUGUCCCUACCAUUCAAGUAGUUCCCCUGAAUUACCUUCUAUCUAAAAUGAACCUCGAACGUUUUACAAACCUGCACCAUUAUACAAUUUUUGGGCGUGCCACCAGGAAAAAUGUUAGAAAUGCAAGUUUUCUAGCUAUUACUGAUCAUGGACAAUUUCUCAUAACUUUACUGUUGUUCGUGAAUCUGAUGGUAAUUUUACUGUGAUGUUUGACUUAUCUUUUUUAAAUAGAAUAGGGGGAAAAUCUCUCUUGAAAAUUUAAAACUUGCUCAGGGCGUCCCUUUUGGGUGACGAUGAUUUCGGAAAGUCACAUUGAGUAGUUUUUCCAACUGAGUCCUGUUCGCUCGGAACAUUACUCAUCCAUUAUCAUAAUCACAUGAUGCAGUACUUGGAAUCAUGCCAAUAUUAACAUUUACUCAAUGAAGAGUCAUUAACCAAGGAUAUUUUUCAUUUUGUGAAGAAUUUAAAAUUCAAACUCAGAGCCCCACUCUUUGUGGUAUCGAUAAUCGUGAAGUAUUGACCCUUUUGUUUCCUCUUAUGAAAUAAUUUUCAAUUCGUUUCUUCACUUUUCAUGGUUUACAUUAAAGGUGUGUAUGUGUGCUUUUUUUUUAAAAAAAAAUGAAAAAUAAAUAUUUUAUAUGUUUAUUUAUUUAUUGAUAAAGUACAAAUAGUACAAACAAUCAAAGAGGAGAAAAAAGAUUAAAGAUAAGAACUACGUUAGGCCGCGGCCAUCCGUAAUGACUAAGCUUAGGAAGUUAAAUGAUAAAAAAAUUAAAAGAGAUAAGAUAGUGGCGAAUGAAGGUCAAUGCCGAGGCAGAAAUACAUUAGAAGAAAAACUAUAAACUAAAAAACCUAUGCGUAAAAGUAGGACACAAAAUGUGCUUCUAUCAUAAAAUUGAAGAAGGUACAAACAAAAAGACAAAACAAAAAGAGAGGAAAUGACAAAUAAAGCGCUGGCGAGCCAACUUUAGUGACCGCACUGGCAAUCAUUUGCCAAAUCUGGAGCCCUAUUUAGGGAGUUUCUAAAAUUGAAGUUUGGAAGGAAUCAGGGAAAUCAUUGAAGUUUGGAAGGAAUCAGGGAAAUCCUCGAGUUAGGUUGACUUAAAGCUGACUUAAAGUUUCAUCAACAAACUUUCGAAAUAAUGGCUUACUAGUUACUCGCGUGUGCCGCUGUCGCCGGCCGCGCCGCUCCGCCUGCGCCUCCCUGACAAUGAGAAUCUUCAAAUCGCCUUCAAUUCGGCUUUAGGCAAAUUGCAUGACAGUUACGUUACUCCUCACGGCGCACGGUGGAUCGAGUCAAUAGGAGAGGUAGGACAAAAUUUGGAAACUUUAAACGCUUAAACCUCCAUUUACACAAACUUUUCAGGUUCUAAAAGUGGUUCCAUUGGUUUUCUCGUGAAAUUUUCUUCCUUAAGCACCCCUUGAAAUUUAAAAUGUGACGAUUUAAACAUCAAAAUUUGCAGUUUUAGUCAAAAUUUCAAGUCCGACCUCUCUAAUUGACUCGAUCCACUGUGCGGCGCGGUGAAACUUGAAAGAAGCACUUCGGAGCCGUAAAAUUUUAAGUAAUCGUCCCGCUCCCGAGAGAUCACUUUGAAGUCCCA
rnacentral:lncRNA from 1 species